rnacentral:rRNA from 1 species
GACGAACGCUGGCGGCGUGACUAAUACAUGCAAGUCGAACGCAGUGGGGACGGGUGAGUAACACGUGGGUAACCUCCCAUCAGAGGGGAUAACACUUGGCAACAGGUGCUAAACCGAUACUGAUGGAUGGACCCGCGGUGCAUUAGCUAGUUGGUGAGGUAACGGCUCACCAAGGCCACGAUGCAUAGUCGACCUGAGAGGGUGUGCGGCCACCCUUGGACUGAGACACGGCCCCAACUUCUACGGGGGGCAGCAGUAGGGAAUCUUCAGCAAUGGACGAAAGGCUGACAGGGGAACGCCGCGUGAGUGAAGAAUGUUAAGGGCUCGUAAAGCUCUUUUGGUAGAGGAGCGGUAUUUAACCUGAAAGCCACGGCUAACUGCUUGCCACCAGCCGCGGUAAUAC